rnacentral:sRNA from 1 species
UAAUCCAAUUUGUAUGGCUGCGAUACCCAC